UCCUGUUUCAAUGCUCGGGCGAAUAAAUGCUAUAAAAAUGAUUUUUCUACCACAAAUUCUAUACCUAUUCCAGUCAAUUCCAAUAUACCUACCAAAAAAGUUUUUUAAAAAACUGGACUCAGACAU